AACAAAGAAGGGAAAUCUGGGAUACUGGAUCGAUGAAGCUCUGUGGUGAGUCAUAUCUCUCAAUUAAACAGCUAAGGGGGUUUUUUCUGUUGUCAGGAACUCCAAGGGUGGAGCAUAGCGGAGAAGCUAUAGGCCAUCUCCUAGCAGGCUGCGCAGAGGGAUGCAUUUCUGCGUCUACAUGUAUAUAUGCACAACCCCUAUUGGUCUGUUGCGCAGACCAUUUGUGUGGUAUUGAUCCACAAAACCUAUAACGCAAUCCAUUGAGUGUUCUUGCCAGCUCGGAGAACAUCUGGAUCCAUCUUGCGAGUCUAAUAUCCUUUAUUAACCGAAAUCAAGUUCUAAUAUGGCAGAAAAAUAUUAAUAGGUUUAUCAAGUAAGGCAAGUUGCGGAAGAAAAGGCCAUUGUACCUCUAGGGUCUGCCCCUUUGUUACGUCAGGGCAUAGAAAUAUGGUUCAUAUAGACCACACACUUCAGCCUAAGCAGCAAAUGUGCAACCGUCCACUUAAAGGAGAAAUACUAACCCUUGCAAUCAAGAAUCGUUGCUUCUGUCAUGAUAAUACAACACAUUAGAGCACAAAUUACACUAAAAAGUCAGAAUACGUCAAUAUAUACUGACACUAUCACGGGGCUACUGGAGAAAAGAAGAAUAGCUCUCCAAUAAAGGUUGGAAACUUGAUCCCAACCCA